rnacentral:rRNA from 1 species
CGGUGGAGCAUGUGGUUUAAUUCGAAGCAACGCGAAGAACCUUACCAGGCCUUGACAUGCAGAGAACUUUCCAGAGAUGGAUUGGUGCCUUCGGGAACUCUGACACAGGUGCUGCAUGGCUGUCGUCAGCUCGUGCCGUGAGAUGUUGGGUUAAGUCCGUAACGAGCGCAACCCUUGUCCUUAGUUACCAGCACGUUAUGGUGGGCACUCUAAGGAGACUGCCGGUGCAAACCGGAGGAAGGUGGGGAUGACGUCAAGUCAUCAUGGCCCUUACGGCCUGGGCUACACACGUGCUACAAUGGUCGGUACAAAGGGUUGCCAAGCCGCGAGGUGGAGCUAAUCCCAUAAAACCGAUCGUAGUCCGGAUCGCAGUCUGCAACUCGACUGCGUGAAGUCGGAAUCGCUAGUAAUCGUGAAUCAGAAUGUCACGGUGAAUACGUUCCCGGGCCUU